AUGAACGCUGGCGGCGUGCCUAAUACAUGCAAGUCGAGCGAACAGACGAGGAGCUUGCUCCUCUGACGUUAGCGGCGGACGGGUGAGUAACACGUGGAUAACCUACCUAUAAGACUGGGAUAACUUCGGGAAACCGGAGCUAAUACCGGAUAAUAUAUUGAACCGCAUGGUUCAAUAGUGAAAGACGGUUUUGCUGUCACUUAUAGAUGGAUCCGCGCCGCAUUAGCUAGUUGGUAAGGUAACGGCUUACCAAGGCAACGAUGCGUAGCCGACCUGAGAGGGUGAUCGGCCACACUGGAACUGAGACACGGUCCAGACUCCUACGAGAGGCAGCAGUAGGGAAUCUUCCGCAAUGGGCGAAAGCCUGACGGAGCAACGCCGCGUGAGUGAUGAAGGUCUUCGGAUCGUAAAACUCUGUUAUUAGGGAAGAACAAAUGUGUAAGUAACUAUGCACGUCUUGACGGUACCUAAUCAGAAAGCCACGGCUAACUACGUG
rnacentral:rRNA from 1 species